CCUCCCUCCUCCUCUCUUCCCUCUUAUUCUGUCCACCACCUCCCUCCGCCUCUCUUCCCUCUUAUUCUGUCCACCACCUCCCUCCUCCUCUCUUCCCUCUUAUUCCAUCCACCACCUCCCUCCACCUCUCUUCCCUCUUAUUCCAUCCAGCACCUCCCUCCGCCUCUCUUCUCUUCCCUCUUAUUCCUUGCAGCACCUCCCUCCUCCUCUCUUCCCUCUUAUUCUGUCCACCACCUCCCUCCUCCUCUCUUCCCUCUUAUUCCAUCCAGCACCUCCCUCCUCCUCUCUUCCCUCUUAUUCCAUCCAGCACCUCCCUCCGCCUCUCUUCCCUCUUAUUCCUUGCAGCACCUCCCUCCUCCUCUCUUCCCUCUUAUUCUGUCCACCACCUCCCUCCGCCUUUCUUCUCUUCCCUCUUAUUCUGUCCACCACGUCGUUCCGCCUCUCUUCUCUCCAUAUUCUGUCUACCACCUCUGUCCCCUUGUCUUCUCGUCCACCUAUUCUGUCCACCACCUCUCUCCCCUUCUCUUCCCUUCCACCUAUUCUUUUCCACCACCUCUCUCCUCAUCUCUUCAACACCAUCUACAGGACAAUAAGAAAUACUGCAGGCCAGUUAUGGUUUAUUUAUGUGUGCUAAUUAUGAUGCCAUAUUUUUGAAAUGUAAAAUAAAAAAACUAAAUUCUUCAGCUUUUGCUCGUGGGCGUGGAGAGGAGUGGCCCUUUCUAUCACAUUUCUGGGACCCGAUCAAAUGAACAGGGCCCCAGUGCUCCUGUCUUGAGGAGCAGACAGAUAGGGAAGCCCUGGCUACACAGACCAGAGUCUGAGGGACCUUUUCUUGUAAACAAGCUCUUGUUUUAGACACUUCCCCUCUUUCUGGUCUUUUAGAGUUCACUGUAGAGCGUAUGUGUGGUCUUUUAGAGUUCACUGUAGAGCGUAUGUGUGGUCUUUUAGAGUUCACUGUAGAGCGUAUGUGUGGUCUUUUAGAGUUCACUGUAGAGCGUAUGUGUGGUCUUUAAGAGUUCACUGUAGAGCGUAUGUGUGGUCUUUUAGAGUUCACUGUAGAGCGUAUGUGUGGUCUUUUAGAGUUCACUGUAGAGCGUAUGUG
ensembl:lncRNA